rnacentral:misc_RNA from 1 species
CCCCUCGGGUUUUCCUUGAGGACGUUGGACAUGGGUGUCUGCCACUGUUGUUGGCUCGCCUUAAAUGUGUCAGUGGUGAUUGGACCUGAGACUGGAGUAAUAAGUUUCUCUGGCCGAUGGACUCUAUGACUGCUAAUAACCCGCCUUCUGGCAUUUAUGACUCUGACCUCAAAUCAGGUAGGACUACCCGCUGAACUUAA